rnacentral:lncRNA from 1 species
UCCAGGACGCUCUUCUCCCCACAGCCUCGGCUCAGAAACGCCUCCCCUGCCACCCCCACCCCAACCUAGAAUCACCAGUCCACUUUAAAAACCCGGAUUUAAUUUUCCCAGCAGCAUUUCUCUCUACCUGGACUGUAUCUUACCUUUUUCCUGGUUGACCCCCGAGGGCAGGAACUUGUGCCUGUCACUGCUGUUGCCCCCACACCUACAGCAGCGCCUGCCACCCAGUAGGUGCUCUGUAAAUGUUUGCCAAACAAGCGGAUGAGUGAUGUAUUGAGCACUUACUGUGUGCCAGGCCCUGCGGCGAGCACUUCAUGUACAUCUGCUCUUUAAUCCUCCCAAUGGCCCCACGAGGAAGGGUACUUGUAUCACCCCCCUUUUCCAGAAGGUCACGGAGGCAGAGGACCUGGAGCCGGGACCUGUGCCUGCAUCUUCAAUGGCAGUGACACUGGCCAGACGUCACGUUGGGGGCCCGUCUCCGCCAGGUCUGCUUAAAUCCUGCCCCGUGGUGCGUCCCCAGCUUCCUUCUAUUACCCUUGAGAGACUCCGUGCCCACGUGUGAGAACCCCACCCAGCCUCAAGUUCAGAGCAGCAAAUGGAGCCUCAGCCGGGGCUGCCCCAGCUGCACGGCCACAGCUGGUAAACGCACUGCCGAGCUCGGAAUUUGCCUUUCUCUGACCCCAAAGCCUCCACCAUCGGCCCAUUUGACUGGAAAACGAGGCCUCAAGGGGGAAGAGAGAAAAUGUGGAUUCUUACCCACAAGCAGAGCCCUGGAGAAAGCACGCAGCCACCCCAGCUUCCUUCCUGCAAGGAGCUGCCCGGCGGUGCCCACGUGCAGCAGAGCUGCCCUCCCUCUGCAGCAUGCCGGGGCUCCUGGCUCACACCUUCCCUCUCUCUACCUGGCGGCAGGGGUCCCCCCUCCCCGCUCUGAGCCCAGGCGGGGCCGAGGGGCAGUGGGGCGCCAUCCUCGCUCACCACAGAAGGUCCAAAACCCCCCUGAGCCCGGCGGGAACUUGGGCACGCCGUGGCGCCUGCCCGGUGCCUCCAUGUCCCCCUUGGC